rnacentral:rRNA from 1 species
UACGGGGGGGGCAAGCGUUGUUCGGAAUUACUGGGCGUAAAGGGCGCGUAGGCGGCCUGCUAAGUCGGACGUGGAAUCCCUCGGCUCAACCGGGGAACUGCGUCCGAUACUGGUGGGCUCGAAUCCGGGAGAGGGAUGUGGAAUUCCAGGUGUAGCGGUGAAAUGCGUAGAUAUCUGGAGGAACACCGGUGGCGAAGGCGGCAUCCUGGACCGGUAUUGACGCUGAGGAACGAAAGCGUGGGGAGCGAACAGG